AUAAGGAAAAAUUCCCACAUAAGCCUAUCAAAGUGAAAUUAUAAAAUAUUUAACAAAAAAGGAACCAUCUUAAGGGCUACUAGAGAAGAUUGAUAACGUACAGGAAGGGAAAAAAAAGACUAUAUUGAUAGUAGAGUUCUCUUUAGUAAAAUAAGUCCCGAGAUAACUGUAAUAUUUAGUAUUGAAAAAAAUUAAACAAGAACUAAGUAAUCAACUGAGAUUGUAUCAUUGACUCAUUUCAUGUAUUGUCACUUCUCAUGAGACAAAGAUACUGCCCCACUCCAUUGACACAAGGCCAAUGAAACAGAGGGGAAGUGACAUGUACCCCUUAAAGCAGAAACUUUAACAUACAGUUUGGAUCUUGCCUUGGUCUUUCUUUUUUGCCACAAAAAUGACAAUGUUCCAGACUGGGACUGCUCUAAUUCCCAUUCUGAUUCCUAAAAUGAGUAGACAUGAGCAGUUGACAUGUAGCCAACAAUUUAAUGGGAGCAGAAAAUACACCUUGGUUGUUACAUGCAUAGCAAAAAAGGCAAAAUAAAGAUGUUUCCAGACACACACUAAGAGAAUUUACUAAUCACUGACCAUCACUAAAAAGAAAUAAAAAAGAUUAUUAAAGGAUCUAUUUCAAUAUAUAAAAAAAAGGAAAACGAGUAUAUCAUGAGAUAUAAGAAAUGGAGGAUUUUUAUCAAUGAGAGGAUUUUACUUCAGUGAGAGGAUGAACUUGGUAAUCUUUAUAUGAAUUUGACAGUUAUCUUGAGCUAUCAGAGAAGUAUAACAUUCAGUUGUUUUUCUAUCUUUCUUUUAAAUUCUAAACCAGAGAAACCUUACUUAAUCCAAUAGGUCACCAGAGGAAUGACUACAAUCAUUUGGUGAUUCUCUAGGAUGUUGUAAAUAAUCAGAUCAAACACAGACCCUGAAAGAGUGUAGGGAGGGGUAUGUCAUAGACAAUGACUUCCAGCAUUUUAUCUGAAGGGCCAGUGGAGCAAGUACACACCUUUGGAGUUGAACCAAAUGAAAUUGCAGUUUUUGGAGGUCAAAACAGUUCAACCGAAGUUCCAAGAAGAUUCAAAAUUAGGAUAUGAUAAUUAAAACUAAAUGAGUUUUUUAA